rnacentral:rRNA from 1 species
GAUGAACGCUGGCGGCGUGCCUAAUACAUGCAAGUAGAACGCUGAAGCUUGGCGCUUGCCCCGAGCGGGUGAGUUGCGGACGGGUGAGUCACGCGUAGGUAACCGGCCUCUUAGCGGGGGAUAACUAUUGGAAAGGAUAUCUAAUACCGCAUAAGAGUCGACAUCGCAUGGUGUUUACGUGAAAGGUGCAAUUGCAUCACUAAGAGAUGGACCUGCGGUGUAUUAGCUAGUUGGUGAGGUAACGGCGCACCAAGGCGACGAUACAGAGCCGACCUGAGCGGGUGGUUGGCCACACUGGGAAGGAGACACGGGACAGACUUCUUAGGGAAGGAGCAGUAGGGAAACUUCGGCAAUGGGGGCAAACCUGGACGAGCAACGCCGCGGGAUGGAAGAAGGGUUUCGGGUCGUAAAGGUCUGUUGUAAGGGAAGAAAGAGUGGUAGAGUGGAAAGUUCACACUGUGACGGUAACUGAACAAAAAGGAACGGCUAACUACGUG